CGGCAACAGCUCAAAUUUGAAAUCUGGCCUCUUUGGGGUCCGAGUUGUAAUUUGGAGAGGAUGCUUUUGGUGCGGUGCCUUCCGAGUUCCCUGGAACGGGACGCCUUAGAGGGUGAGAGCCCCGUACGGUUGGACGCCUAGCCUCUGUAAAGCUCCUUCGAC
rnacentral:rRNA from 1 species